GACGAACGCUGGCGGCGUGCUUAACACAUGCAAGUCGAACGGAAAGGCCCUGCUUUUGUGGGGUGCUCGAGUGGCGAACGGGUGAGUAACACGUGAGUAACCUGCCCUUGACUUUGGGAUAACUUAAGGAAACUGGGGCUAAUACCGGAUAGGAGCUCCUGCUGCAUGGUGGGGGUUGGAAAGUUUCGGCGGUUGGGGAUGGACUCGCGGCUUAUCAGCUUGUUGGUGGGGUAGUGGCUUACCAAGGCUUUGACCGGUAGCCGGCCUGAGAGGGUGACCGGCCACAUUGGGACUGAGAUGCGGCCCAGACUCCUACGGGAGGCAGCAGUGGAGAAUAGUGCACAAUGGGCGGAAGCCUGAUGCAGCAACGCCGCGUGCGGGAUGACGGCCUUCGGGUUGUAAACCGCUUUCGCCUGUGACGAAGCGUGAGUGACGGUAAUGGGUAAAGAAGCACCGGCUAACUACGUG
rnacentral:rRNA from 1 species